GGUUACUAGGCAGUUAUUGUAGCUGUGAAAGGGUCUGGAUAGGUAGGCUAUUUUGGAUAUAGCUCAACUAUCUCUGAAUGGAAUGUGCUGUUAAGAAUGUGCCAUAAGUGCAUAGUUGGUAGGGACCAGGGCGUGAUUUGUAAUUGAGCAGCAUAUUAGGUCUGUCAUUCACCUCUAAUAUCCCCUCAUUUUAGAACAAGUCAUCAAAUAAGUAAGCAAUAUGGUUGAUGUAAGAAAUUCCAUCAUAUUGCUCACCUCUUCAAGAUUCAAUUCAACGGAUCCCCAAUGGAGUCUGUUUUAAUAAGGCCAACAUAAAUCUCAAAUUAAGCCUUCAAAAACUUAAAAUACAUCCUUUCCUCAUUGGCAUAAUUGCUGAAGUGACUUGGUGAUAUCUAUGCUUAUUUUUCCCAAUUGCAUUAGAUUUGUUUUUACUUCAAGGGAGGAUGCAUCUUUUUUUUUUUUUUUUUUUUUUUACUGCUGAUAGGUUCAAAUGUCUUUCCGGAGUGGCCUUAGUGCAAUUCACCUUUGACCUCUUUCUCCAUCUAGUGAUGUUUCCUAAAGGGCCAAGGAGAGAAUGGGUAUCUCCCAAUACUAAUUUGUGGUCUCCUUUCCAAGAGCUCUCACCAGGGCCACAAAGCGUCUUAGUAGGAGUGCUGAUCUAGACUCAGUUGAGCUUUUUAGAUCAAAGUGAGUAAUAUUUUAGAGACAAAUGCUGGAUUAGCAGUCCAACUCAGAGACCCUUUGUGGAUGCGGGCCCCAGGCUCUGAGAGGGCAAGGUUAAUUGAUCUCCAUUUGGCUCUCACCUCCCAAUGUGUGUUCGUCGUACAGACACAGAUUAUCACACAUUUACAAUGCUUGGAAACUUGUUAAACAUCUCAGGAACCAAUAUGAGAUAAUUAAAAUCUCUAAAGAAUCUGUAGUGAAUAUGCAUAACUGAAACAUCCGUUGUCCUCACAGACCCAAAGGAACACAGACGAGAGGCCGUUAAAUUGAUUGCACAUAACCUACUCUAUAUUUUGGCAAGGGGAAACAUUGCUCUAUGGUGCAAAACUGAUUAAAAUGAGAAAUGGAAAAACUAACAGUAAGACCAUGUGGAGAUUUAACUGAGCAGCAUUGAUGUGUCAUUUGACAGGGCUGAACUAAAAGAAUACAUAUUUGGAUCAUCUGGCCUUUUACAUCUUGAUUACAUUCUGCAGCUUGUUUCUAGUCUUAGUCAUGGAAUGCACUGAUGAGUUAUUUGAGCAUAUUUGGUCAUCCCAAAUGACACCUCUAUUUCCUACAGAGUAGAUAACUUUUGGCAGAAGUUAUCUAGUUCCGGUCAAAAGUAGGGCACUUUUUAGGGAAUAGAGUGCCAUUUGAUAGGCCACCAUUUUUAUUUAUUUUUCCACAAACUUCCUAUGUGACAGAGAAAUCAAUCAUCCCUUGUCCCUCUUCUCACUCUGGUAAUCUCACCAGUAUGAAAAGUGGUGGUGUUGUCUAUAUAGCACUCCCCCUCAUUCACCACAUCAACUCUGUUCCAUCGAAUCCAUUCCAGACAUUACAAUGAGCCUUUCCUCCUAUAUCCCCUCCCACCAGUCUCCUGAACCCCACUAUCAUUACAGGUCAUAGAGGGGAAGGGAAAAUGUUCCAAAUUGUUAGUUGAUGAAAUUAUAUAUAAAUCUCUC
ensembl:lncRNA